UUGCACGCUGGCGGCAGGCCUCACACAUGCAAGUCGAACGGUAACAGGAAACAGCUUGCUGUUUCGCUGACGAGUGGCGGACGGGUGAGUAAUGUCUGGGAAACUGCCUGAUGGAGGGGGAUAACUACUGGAAACGGUAGCUAAUACCGCAUAACGUCGCAAGACCAAAGAGGGGGACCUUCGGGCCUCUUGCCAUCGGAUGUGCCCAGAUGGGAUUAGCUAGUAGGUGGGGUAACGGCUCACCUAGGCGACGAUCCCUAGCUGGUCUGAGAGGAUGACCAGCCACACUGGAACUGAGACACGGUCCAGACUCCUACGGGGGGCAGCAGUGGGGAAUAUUGCACAAUGGGCGCAAGCCUGAUGCAGCCAUGCCGCGUGUAUGAAGAAGGCCUUCGGGUUGUAAAGUACUUUCAGCGGGGAGGAAGGGAGUAAAGUUAAUACCUUUACUCAUUGACGUUACCCGCAGAAGAAGCACCGGCUAACUCCGUG
rnacentral:rRNA from 1 species